rnacentral:snRNA from 1 species
UAAACACUCCCAAUACAUCUC